UACGGGGGGGGCAAGCGUUGUUCGGAAUUACUGGGCGUAAAGGGUCUGUAGGUGGCCAACUAAGUCAGACGUGAAAUCCCUCAGCUUAACUGGGGAACUGCGUCUGAUACUGGUUGGCUUGAGUGCAGGAGAGGAAUGCGGAAUUCCAGGUGUAGCGGUGAAAUGCGUAGAUAUUCGGAAGAACACCAGUGGCGAAGGCGACUUACUGGACACAUAUUGACGCUGAGGUGCGAAAGCGUGGGGAGCAAACAGG
rnacentral:rRNA from 1 species